rnacentral:rRNA from 1 species
UUAAUUGAAGAGUUUGAUCAUGGCUCAGAUUGAACGCUGGCGGCAGGCCUAACACAUGCAAGUCGAGCGGCAGCACAGAGGAACUUGUUCCUUGGGUGGCGAGCGGCGGACGGGUGAGUAAUGCCUGGGAAAUUGCCCGGUAGAGGGGGAUAACCCUUGGAAACGAUGGCUAAUACCGCAUAAUCUCGCAAGAGCAAAGACGGGGACCUUCGGGCCUUGCGCUACCGGAUAUGCCCAGGUGGGAUUAGCUAG